AACGAACGCUGGCGGCGUGGAUUAGGCAUGCAAGUCGAACGAGAAAGAUUCCUUCGGGGAUUGAGUAGAGUGGCAAACGGGUGAGUAACGCGUGGGAAACCUGCCUUUUAGUUGGGGACAACACUUCUAACGAGGUGCUAAUACCGAAUAAUAUCUUACCAUCGCACGGUGGUUUGAUGAAAGACGGCCUUUGUUUCAAGCUGUCGGUGAAAGAAGGUUCCGCGUUCCCAUAGCUUGUUGGGUGAGGUAACGGCUCACCAAGGCGACGAUGGGUAGCCGGCCUUAGCGGGUGAUCGGCCACACUGGGACUGAGAUACGGCCCAGACUCCUACGGGAGGCAGCAGUCGAGAGGCAUCCACAAUGGGGGAAACCCUGAUGGUGCGACGCCGCGUGGGUGAUGAAGGUUUUCGGAUCGUAAAACCCUUUCAGCAAGGACGAAUUUAUGGGUGAUAAUACCAUUCAAUAAAUGACGGUACUG
rnacentral:rRNA from 1 species